rnacentral:rRNA from 1 species
UACGUAGGUGGCAAGCGUUGUCCGGAUUUACUGGGCGUAAAGAGCGCGCAGGCGGCCAAGUAAGUCGAAUGUGAAAGCCCCCGGCUUAACUGGGGAGGGUCAUUCGAUACUGCUCGGCUCGAAGACAGGAGAGGGAAGUGGAAUUCCCGGUGUAGUGGUGAAAUGCGUAGAUAUCGGGAGGAACACCCGUGGCGAAAGCGGCUCUCUGGGACGGUACUGACGCUGAGACGCGAAAGCGUGGGGAGCAAACAGG